rnacentral:rRNA from 1 species
UAGGGAAUCUUCCGCAAUGGACGAAAGUCUGACGGAGCAACGCCGCGUGAGUGAAGAAGGAUUUCGGUUCGUAAAACUCUGUUGUUAGGGAAGAAAAAAUGUAUAGUAACUAUAUACAAAAGAGACGGUACCUAACCAGAAAGCCACGGCUAACUACGUGCCAGCAGCCGCGGUAAUACGUAGGUGGCAAGCGUUGUCCGGAAUUAUUGGGCGUAAAGCGCGCGCAGGUGGUUUAGAAAGUCUGAUGUGAAAGCCCACGGCUCAACCGUGGAGGGUCAUUGGAAACUAAUAAACUUGAGUGCAGGAGAGAAAAGUGGAAUUCCUAGUGUAGCGGUGAAAUGCGUAGAGAUUAGGAGGAACACCGGUGGCGAAAGCGGCUUUUUGGCCUGCAACUGACACUGAGGCGCGAAAGCGUGGGCAGCAAACAGG